rnacentral:rRNA from 1 species
GACGAACGCUGGCGGCGUGCUUAACACAUGCAAGUCGAACGGAAAGGCCCUGCUUUUGUGGGGUGCUCGAGUGGCGAACGGGUGAGUAACACGUGAGUAACCUGCCCUUGACUUUGGGAUAACUUCAGGAAACUGGGGCUAAUACCGGAUAGGAGCUCCUGCUGCAUGGUGGGGGUUGGAAAGUUUCGGCGGUUGGGGAUGGACUCGCGGCUUAUCAGCUUGUUGGUGGGGUAGUGGCUUACCAAGGCUUUGACGGGUAGCCGGCCUGAGAGGGUGACCGGCCACAUUGGGACGGAGUUACGGCCCAGACUCCUACGGGAGGCAGCAGGGGGGAAUAUUGCACAAGGGGCGGAGCCUGAUGCAGCAACGCCGCGUGCGGGAUGACGGCCUUCGGGUUGUAAACCGCUUUCGCCUGUGACGAAGCGUGAGUGACGGUAAUGGGUAAAGAAGCACCGGCUAACUACGUG